rnacentral:rRNA from 1 species
UAAAGUAAGAAAGAGCGUAUGGCGGAUGCCUAGGCACAGAGAGGCGAAGAAGGACGCAGCAAACAGCGAAAUGCGACGGUUAGCAGUAAGCAUGCAACGAUCCGUCGAUGUCCGAAUGGGGGAACCCACCUGGAGUAGAGACCAGGUAUCCUGAAGUGAAUAAAUAGCUUCAGAGAGGCGAGACUCAGGGAACUGAAACAUCUAAGUACCUGAAGGAAGAGAAAAUAAACGAAUGAUUCCCUAAGUAGCGGCGAGCGAAAGGGGAAGAGCCCAAACCGAUCUUAGGAUCGGGGUUGUAGGACUGUCGGCAAAGAGCAAGAAAUCAUUAUAGGCGAACGGAAUGGGAAGUCCGGCGAAACAGGGUGACAGCCCCGUAGCCGAAAUAGUGAAGAAGCACGAGACAGCACCUGAGUACGGCGGGACACGAGGAAUCCUGUCGGAAUCCACCAGGACCAUCUGGUAAGGCUAAAUACUCCUCUGUGACCGAUAGUGAACCAGUACCGUGAGGGAAAGGUGAAAAGAACCCCGGGAGGGGAGUGAAAUAGAACCUGAAACCAUAUGCUUACAAGAAGUUAGAGCCCGUUAAAGGGUGAUAGCGUGCCUUUUGUAGAAUGAACCGGCGAGUUACGAUAUGGAGCGAGGUUAAGCAGGAUAUGCGGAGCCGAAGCGAAAGCGAGUCUUAACAGGGCGAAAGUUGCAUGUCGUAGACCCGAAACCGAGUGAUCUAGCCAUGACCAGGUUGAAGUUGGGGUAAAACCCGAUGGAGGACCGAACCGACCCCCGUUGAAACGUUGGCGGAUGAGUUGUGGCUAGGGGUGAAAUUCCAAUCGAACUCGGAGAUAGCUGGUUCUCCCCGAAAUAGCUUUAGGGCUAGCGUCGAGGUAAAGUCGUGUGAAGGUAGAGCACUGAAUAUGUGAUGGCCCCAUCUCGGGGUACUGAACAUAAUCAAACUCCGAAUGUCACAAAGAUAUACUCGGCAGUCAGACAGUGGGUGAUAAGGUCCAUUGUCAAAAGGGAAACAGCCCAGACCAUCAGCUAAGGUCCCAAAAUAUAUACUAAGUGGAAAAGGAUGUGGAGAUGUCCAGACAACUAGGAGGUUGGCUCAGAAGCAGCCAUCCUUUAAAGAGUGCGUAACAGCUCACUAGUCGAAUGACUCUGCGCCGAUAAUUUACCGGGGCUAAGUAUAUUACCGAAGCUAUGGAUUUACGCGUAAGCGUGAGUGGUAGGGGAGCGUUCUAUGUGCGGAGAAGCGGUACCGUAAGGAGCCGUGGAGCGCAUAGAAGAGAGAAUGCCGGUGUGAGUAGCGAAACGUGGGUGAGAAUCCCACGCACCGAAAACCCAAGGUUUCCAGAGGAAGGUUCGUCCGCUCUGGGUAAGUCGGGACCUAAGGCGAGGCCGAGAGGCGUAGUCGAUGGACAACAGGUAGAGAUUCCUGUACUUACGGUAUGAAUGAUGGAGUGACGGAGAAGGCUAGCGGAUCCUGCUGAUGGAAAUGCAGGUGCAAGCGAGGUAGCCGACAGCCAGGCAAAUCCGGCUGUCGAAAGGCAAAGGCGUGAGGCGUAUGGAAAGCUGCGGCAAGUACAGAAGUCCGUGAAGCCAGCUUCCAAGAAAAGCUUCUAGUGAUAAUCAUACAGUAACCCGUACCGAAAAUGGACACACAUGGGUGAGGAGAGAAUCCUAAGGUGAGCGAGAGAACUAUAGCUAAGGAACUCUGCAAAAUGACUCCGUAACUUAGGGAUAAGGAGUGCUCAUAGAGAUAUGAGCCGCAGUGAAACGGCCCAAGCGACUGUUUACCAAAAACACAGCUCUAUGCUAAGUCGAAAGACGACGUAUAUGGGGUGACGCCUGCCCGGUGCUGGAAGGUUAAGAGGAUGUGUCAGCGCAAGCGAAGCAUUGAAUUGAAGCCCCAGUAAACGGCGGCCGUAACUAUAACGGUCCUAAGGUAGCGAAAUUCCUUGUC